rnacentral:tRNA from 2 species
GGCGAGUUAGCUCAGUUGGUAGAGCAGGAAAAAAACCGAUUCUUGUAUUGAAUCGUACAGCAAACAAUACUAUUGCACUUUUAAUGCCCUUGUCGGGGGUUCAAUUCCCUCACUCGCCACCA